rnacentral:rRNA from 1 species
CAGUAGCCGCGGUAAUACAGAGGGUGCGAGCGUUAAUCGGAUUUACUGGGCGUAAAGCGUGCGUAGGCGGCUUCUUAAGUCGGAUGUGAAAUCCCUGAGCUUAACUUAGGAAUUGCAUUCGAUACUGGGAAGCUAGAGUAUGGGAGAGGAUGGUAGAAUUCCAGGUGUAGCGGUGAAAUGCGUAGAGAUCUGGAGGAAUACCGAUGGCGAAGGCAGCCAUCUGGCCUAAUACUGACGCUGAGGUACGAAAGCAUGGGGAGCAAACAGGAUUAGAUACCCCCGUAGUCCCUGUCUCUUAACA